CAGGAAGCUACUCCUGUGCUGUGAAAACCAACAAAGAUAUCAGCUCUGCUCCAAAGACUCUCACUGUCCAAAGUAUCACAGGAACAUGGACACCAGCAGCUGCAGGAGUUUCUGCAGCUCUGCUGCUUUUAAUACUUCUCACUGUCUGCUGGUGGAGGAGAAGAAAGAGGAAAUCUCACCAACCUACAAGAAAUGAAAAUUUGGAUGCUUUGGAGUAUGACGACAUCGCAGCUCAUCGAGGAGAGCAGGACCUGAACUACCAAAGACUCCACGUCUACAAGAAUGAAUCAGAUUCUCUCUACUCCACGAUUCCUCCAUCUCAGCCCCGAGAACAACAUCAUAUCCACUACAAUCCUGAAUCAAAGAGGACUUGCAGACAGUCUCCAAGAAGAACCUCAGACAACAAAGAGCAGAUGAACCCUGAAAGUAUCUCAGCUCAGUCAGCACAGCAGGAUGAUCAUCACUACAGCAGACUGCACUUCAGUGAGAAGCACACAGCUGAUCUCUACUCCACCAUCGAGCCACUGCCUGCUCACUAAAGAAGAGUUCGUUACCAUGGUGAUUUAAAGGAACAUUUUGUGGAGAGUUUGUGUCUGAAAUAACUUCAGUGUCACAGCAGAGACACCACAGCUGGUGUGUCUGUCAGUGGGUUUCACACUUUGUACUAAAACAGACAACACAGGAGAAUAACUAACAGAAAUAUAGAAAUACUUCAGCUUUUCACUUUAAAGAGGUCUAAUGAAAAUAGGAAACAUGCUAAUGAUAUUAUUUUGUGAGCUUUGGGUUGUUUCACUUUCUGGGUGCUCUGCAGCUUUGACUGUAAAAUUAUUAACUCUGUUUCUGACACAACGUAAAACAUCAAAGUCAUCACGUCUGCAGGUUUGACUUCUGUCAAGUGCUGUUUUUUUCUAAACCACAAAAUAACAACUAAACCUCACGUCUCUGUUCUCACUGUGAACACUGACAGCAGCUUCUUACAUUACAUGUAAUGUACAUUUACUUGCAUUACAUUUAAUAAUUUCCUAUGUGUAUUUUGUAAAAACUAAACAACAAAAAGACAAAAUGCAGCAAAGAAGAAAACAAAUUCUAAGGAACAUUUAAUAUCAUGUCAGUGCAUCGAUUCUCCACUAAAGGGCUCUGCUUCAUGGGAAAGACAUAUGAGGAAGUGAUGCUUUUAAUGCUGAAAGCAGUUUGUCUGCAGACACACUCACACAGGCCACUUCUUUUUAACCAAAAAAAACCAAAACAAAACAUUCAUCUGAAAAUGGCAUAAGGGCUGAAAUGUAAACAAGUAAUAGAAGCAACUUCAUAACAGAUUUUCAAUGCUGGGUGACUAUUUUUUUUUUUAGACAUCAUUAGCAUAAAAUAAAUACCAGAGUCUUUAUAGCCAGUCUUCAAACUCAC
ensembl:lncRNA